AUACACAAGAGAAAUCAGUGUCAUUAAGGCUUUUUAACUAACUAUACAUAGAUUUCCAUAGAUUGUAAUGGCAAUAUAAUGUGUGUUACGAGUAAGUUAUGUGUGUUUGAGAAUGUAUUUACAGUCUCUGUGGAUAAAGAAGUAAAAAAAUUGUUGGAAAAAAACUUCAUAAAAGACUGCAUAUAAAUGCUGUAAUGCCAAAAGGAAAAUACUGGGUUAGGCAGCCAAUGAGAACAGACAAAAGAUAUUGCCGACAGAAACGAUGGUGAAAGCAUUAGAGAACAAAGAAUCUUUACAACAAGUGAAGUGAAGAAACUCAAAGUCGCGAUAACCUAGAUUCACAGCAAGCAUGACGAAUUCAUGGUGGUUCAGUUAAAUUUAAAAUAUAAAAUUAUUGAUAGAUAGACAAUUGUCAACCAGGCCUUAACUUUUGCAAUCUUAAAGUUAAAGUCCAAUAGACAAGUAAAAAUUAGGGCCUAAAAAUAUUUUUCCGUUCGACUUCCUUUUGAAUAUUUUUCAUUUUGUGUCGUAGUGUAAAACGUUUGUAAUAUUUUUUUGCAUAUUGGGAAAAGCUGCCAAAAGGGAACAAAUCCAUAGUUCAGCUUGUUUUGAUUAACCACAAAAAAAGCUUAGGGAUGAAUUUCCCGUAUUUAAAAGCAAUCCAUACACAUUGUUUCAGUAAAUUCGGUCUUUGAAAAAACACGUUUGGGGAGAUAAUUUACCCGCAUUAAGAAGCAAUCCAUACAAGCAAUCCAUGAUAUUCAGUUCUUUUAGUAAAUUCGGUCUUUAGAAAAAACAUUUACGGAGAUAAUUUACCGGUAUUAAGAAGCAAUCCAUACAUAUAAAAUUCAGUUGUUUUAGUAAAUUCGAUUUUUGAAAUAUAUAUAUAUAUAUAUAUGAAUACAAAUUGUAGCUAUAGGAAUAACCAACAAGAUAGAUGACUACAUCAAGAAUUAAGUAAAAAGAUUUUAUUAUUUAAAAUUUUCGUCAGUUCAUCGACUGACUUCUUCAGUAUCGCUUACAAUACAGUAUUAACAAUUAAAAUAUCUUAUAUAGUGAUAAAAAUAAAUUAUAUACAAUUAAAUACACAAGGGUUUAAAACUGGUUUCCAUCACCAUCAUCCUACUAUCAACUUAACACACGGUUUCUACAACUUGCAUUUUUCUGUUCUUUUAGUUCUAUUCCAGUCAUGAGAACCAUUAAGUCCCUGAUGUUGUGUGACGAGUGUCCCUAUCCAGAAUUUUUCUUUAUCUAAUAGCAAACUAUCAAUUUGCCUGUUUGUUAAAUUCUCUCCAUUGUUCACAACAUCAACUAUAAUAAACCCAAUAUUUUGCACGGAGGCAUUAGGGCAUUCAUCAAUAAAAUGUUUCACAACUUUGCAAGAUGGUAUCUUCUUUUUAAUGUGGGAUUUGUAAUUCGAAAGUCGAGGCUUCCAAGCAAUGUAAAAAUAUAUAAAAAAACAAGGACAGACUUAGCAACGUCAACGUUACGCAACUUUCAAAAUGGCCGUAAUAACACUGCUCUCUGCUUUACACAUCCCUUUGUCGUGGCUGCAAAAUCUCGGAUUGGUUUUUCAAAAAAAAUCAGGCGUUGCAAUUGAAUGCUACACGCGGGAGAAUAAAACAAAGUCGGUAAAUAUAUAUCGCAUUUGGUAUUUUGUGCAGAUA